CCUACGGGAGGCAGCAGUGAGGAAUAUUGGUCAAUGGGCGAGAGCCUGAACCAGCCAAGUCGCGUGAAGGAUGACGGCCCUACGGGUUGUAAACUUCUUUUGUCAGGGAGCAAUUGGGUCCACGCGUUGGCUUAGCGAGAGUACCUGAAGAAAAAGCAUCGGCUAACGCCGUGACAGCAGCCGCGGUAAUCCGGAGGCUGCGAGCGUUAUCCGGAUUUAUUGGGUUUAAGGGGUGGGUAGGAGGAAUAUCAAGUCAGCGGGAAAAAUUCGGAGCUCAACCCCGUAGUGCCGUUGAAACUGAUGGUCUUGAGUGGGCGAGAAGUAUGCGGAAUGCGUGGUGUAGCGGUGAAAUGCAUAGAUAUCACGCAGAACUCAGAUUGCGAAGGCAGCAUACCGGCGCCCAACUGACGCUGAAGCACGAAAGCGUGGGUAUCGAACAGGAUUAGAUACCCGGGUAGUC
rnacentral:rRNA from 1 species